rnacentral:misc_RNA from 1 species
GAUGAAGAACGUAGCGAAAUGCGAUAAGUAGUGUGAAUUGCAGAAUUCAGUGAAUCAUCGAAUCUUUGAACGCACAUUGCGCCCCUUGGUAUUCCAUGGGGCAUGCCUGUUCGAGCGUCAUUUGUACCCUCAAGCUAUGCUUGGUGUUGGGUGUUUGUCCUCUCCGUUUGCGAUUGGACUCGCCUUAAAGACAUUGGCAGCCAGUGUAUUGGUCUUGAAGCGCAGCACAUUUUGCGAUUCUUGCUGAUAAUCACUAGCGUCCAGUAAGCCUAUUUUAACACUUUUGACCUCGGAUCAGGUAGGGAUACCCGCUGAACUUAAGCAUAUCAAUAAGCGGAGGA